rnacentral:rRNA from 1 species
CGAAAGCCUGACGGAGCAAGACCGCGUGGGGGAAGAAGGCUCUUGGGUUGUAAACCCCUUUUCUCUGGGAAGAAAGUUGUGAAAGCAGCCUGACGGUACCAGAGGAAUCAGCAUCGGCUAACUCCGUGCCAGCAGCCGCGGUAAGACGGAGGAUGCAAGCGUUAUCCGGAAUGAUUGGGCGUAAAGCGUCCGCAGGUGGCAGUUCAAGUCUGCUGUCAAAGACCGGGGCUCAACCUCGGAAAGGCAGUGGAAACUGAACAGCUAGAGUAUGGUAGGGGCAAAGGGAAUUCCUGGUGUAGCGGUGAAAUGCGUAGAGAUCAGGAAGAACAUCGGUGGCGAAGGCGCUUUGCUGGACCAUAACUGACACUCA